rnacentral:lncRNA from 1 species
CCACAGUCUAGUGUGAAACAAGCAGUUGGACAGCUUUUUUCUGCGGUACUGAAGGAGGCAAAGCCUUCUGUGGUACAUUAGUGCUGCUUCAGAUGAACUGGUAGCAGGUGAAAACUAAACAGGUUCAGGAGCUCUGGGGACAGCUGUUUUACUGCAGGCAGGGAGGCAGAUAAUGGAAAACAGGCACAACAGGCAGAAGGGAAAAGAUUAUUUACUUUUGUGCUUUUAAGCUGGGCUCUGUGGUAUGAAGCUAUUGCCCGGCUUUCCACUUGCAAAUGACAUUCUUGUUUUUCUUCAUUUUGUCUUCAAAAUGGACAACCUCAAGAGAAUACUAUACAGGAAACGUUUUUAAAACACUCCUGCCUGCAGGGCUGGCACUGUGCUAAAUUGGACCUCUGGGAAUCAAUGCUUCCUCUCUCUGCUGACAAAAGGUGUUAUGUCAGCCAGCAGACCAGUGGAGGUGGAGUAGGAGGUUUGCAGAACUUUUGAAAGAACAUCAGAGGACCAGUAUGGAACACCAUCAUCACAGAAUUAAUCUGGAGCCAUUUGUACCUACUGGAGGCUUCAGGAUCGAUGCCAGUGCACCCCCAACUGAGGACAGAACAUACCUACACCUCCAUUAAGGUAAGUCUUUUCAGGAGUGCUCUGUCUGUGUGUGUGUGAGCAUGAGUGUUUGUGUGUCUCCUAAUUUUUGU